CCGCGUCUCGUUCAGUUAGUAUAGUUUGGCCACGGACUAUCUGGCUGUUGACCAGCAGCCGCUGUUGGCUUCCCUGGACUAGGGGAGUCUCUUGACUAGACCAUUUUGGCCGGUAAACCUGUUCAAGGCAUACACCCUUCAAAGUGUUCUUUCUGUAAACUGUGAUAAUGAUCAAAUACAGGAUUCAUUAGUGUUACGAUCUCUCUUCAAUCUUACCGCAUCCUUCCAAGGUCGGCGAGGUUCUACAAAAUAAUGACAUCUGUAGUAGCUGCACAUCUGCACUUAAAAUAUCCUCUCAUACAACAGCAACUGCUCUGAAGUGACAACACUGUCAGGAAGACAUUUCCCAUCCUAACAUAAAAUUCAUUAUUAUAUGCUGCCGAUGUUUUUUAUUCGACGAACGCCCCAGCAACUAGAAAAGGCGAGCGAGUGUUCUCAGCUUAAGACAACCAGAUAAUUAAGGGUCUAAGUCCAUUUCCGCAAACAAUCCAAACUCGAAGCCACGAAGAGAAUCCCAAGUAGUCCAGAAAUCUAUGCAUCAGUAGGAUAUAUCAGUAUGGUACCAUCGGUUGCAAACGGCCCAUGCAGCCCCUCUCAAAAGUCGGAAAAACAGCGAAACUGCAAAUCCUGCCCAGCUUUGUCCUUCAUGCCACGUAAGCGAUCGAUUCAAGUAUGGGAAGAGACGCACAGCUAAUAUUUUCUUCCUCUCCGCUUCUUCCACCACCAUGAUAAAUCAAACCAGACCGAGGUCGCUUUCUACUGCACACGGACCAUCAACCAAUUCCGGUAAAAGGGAGACAGAAAGACUACAGGAUCCACGAAAACGACUCCCGGACACUAGCAUAACGACUGCAGCUUCUCUGCUGCCUUGGAAGAAACACCUUCCUCCGGAAAAACCGGGGUCUACAAAAGUCUCCCACUCCACUUCGGGAACAAAACACCUAGGAGCCACUAUUGCCCACUUCCAUGCCGAUACUAUCUACUAGGGAAUUAGAUCCAGCUAUAUCAUUCACAAAACAAUAGAAGUCACUUUGAGGCAUCUUAGAAUAUGCUAAAACUGAAUUGUGGACACCGUGUUCAAUGGAUAUUUCGUACUACUUUUACAUAGCAGUCACUAGACAGAUAUUUCAAUUUGCAUCGGCAUGCAAAAUUUGAGGAUGGGUGUGUGUUUUUGGGUGGAGAAAGCAGGACAGCCCUGAACUUCAUAUGAUAUGGUUGAAUAAGUUCAGCAACCCUUCCUCAAGUGUAUCCCCCCAAAAUCAGCCUAAAUAGCCAGUUUAGAACCAAAACUCAGAUGAACAAUGGUUUGACGGUUCUUAAGAAGACUGCUGCAGUUCACACCAUUACAAGCUGCAAUUGGUUCAACAGUUAAGGGACAGUGAUCAAACUCAUUUGCCCUGAACUUCCACAGAAAUGCUCGAGUGUUGGAAGAAGACCGAUUCGACGAGCAGCUUGUUUUUAGAGAUAAGGUGACCUUCCACACAAGUGGCAGGGUUAACGAGCAUAACAUAAGCAAAUGGGGAACUGAGAACCCUUGUGUACCUUGAGUAUGUGCAAGAUUCCCCUAAGUAAAUGUGUUCUCUGGCAUGUCAAAGAAAUGUGUGUAUAUACCAUUCUUCUUUGAAGAAGGGAGAGUUAAUAACAACCAUAAAUUGCCAUGCUGCAAAACUGGUUGAUAGAAAAUUGCAUGAGGAGUAGUUUACAACCUUCAUUUUCCAAUAGGAUGGGCACCAGCUCACUGAGGUCUUAAUGCUAGACAAUAUCUGAACACCAAUCUGUCUGACAGAAUGGGUAGACAUUCCAGACUGUUCUCAUGUUCUUGUGAUGGCCACCUAGGUCUCCAGACCUCACGCCAUGUGAAUUCUUCCUCUGGGGGUAUGUGAAAGGCCUUGUGUACGUACUUCACCUUCCCAAAGAAGUGGGUGAUCUAAACUUGAAUAACAGAAGCCUUGGCAACCGUCUAUAAUGCUGUGCUUCUUAGGUCUCCAGACCUCAUGUGACUUAUUCCUCUUGGGGGGUAUGUGAAAGGCCUUGUGUAUGUACCACUCCUUCCCUGAGAAGUGGACGAUCUGAAGAUCAGAAGGCGUGGCAACCAAUUAUCUGGAGACGCCAUGCUUCCUAGGUCACCAGGCUUCACAGCCAUGUGACUACUUUUUUUCCAGAAGUAUAUUUAAGGCCUCAUGUACAUGCAUACCUAGCCUUCCCAGAGAAGUGGAUGAUCUGAACACACUAAUAAAUGGAGCCUUGGCAACCAUCACAUCACUGUUUCCUAGGUCUCCUGGCAACCAUCACAUCACUAAUAUUUCCUAGGUCUCCAGACCUCACAGCCAUGAGAGUUCUUCCUCUGGGUGUAAGUGAUAAGCCUCAUGUAGGUACCUGCCAUUCUCAUAUAAGUAGAUGAACUGAAAACUCUAAUAACUAAAGCCUUGUUAACAACCACUAAAGCCUUGCGAACAACCAUCGACAACGCUAUGCUUCUUUAGUCUCCAGACCUCACACCAAGCAACUAAUUCCUCUGAGAGUAAGAGAUAUUUAUCAUGCAUGUACCUCCCAUUUCCAGAAAAGUGGACGAUCUGAAAAACUCAAAUAACUGAAGCCUGGGCAACCUUUGACAAAUCUAUGCUUCUUGGUAUACAGAUCUCACACCAUGCGACUUCAUCACUAAGAGUGUGUGAAAGGCCAGCUCAAAGUGGAGGAUCUGAAUACUAGUCUCAACAGAAGCCUUGCCAACUAUCGACAGUGCUAUGCUUCCUAAGUCUCCAGCAAACCAUUUGCCAUACAACUUCUUCCUCUGGGGGUAUGUGAGAGGCCUUUUUAUGUUACUUCCACCUCCCAGAGAAGUGGGUGACCUAAAGACUAUUCUGAUAACAGAAGCCUUUGCCAACCAUCAAUAGCGUAACUGCGCCUCCCAUAGAAGUGGACGAUCUGAAGACUAGUCUAAUAAGAGAAGCCUUGCCAACUAUCGACAGCGCUAUGGUUCCUAAGUCUCCAGACCUCACACCAUGCAACUUCUUUCUUUGGGGCAUGUGAAAGGCUCGUUAUGUACCUCCCCUUCCCAAAGAAGUGUGAUCUGAAGACGUGGCAACCAAUUAUCUGAAAAUGCUAUGCUUCCUUGGUCUUCAGACCUCACACCAAGCAACUUCUUCCUCUGGGGGUAUGUGAAAGGCUCGUUAUGUACCUCCCCUUCCAAGAGAGGUGGAUGAUCUGAAGACUUGGCAACCAAUUAUCUGACAAUGUUAUGCUUCGUAUGUCUCCAGACUCCACAGCCAUGCAACUUCUUCCUAUGUAACUUCUUCCUCUGGAACUUCUUCCUCUGGGGUAUUGAUAGGCCUCGUGCACGACGUACCUCCCCUUCCCAGAGAAAUGGAUGAUCUGAAGACUAAUAACAGAAGCCUAGCCAGCCAUCGAGAACACUUGCUUCUUAGGUCUUCAAGCAACUUCUUCCUCUGGGGGUGUGUAAAAGGCCUCUUGUAUGUAUCGCCCCUUUCCAGAGAAGUGGAUGAUCUGAAGAUGCAGCAACCAAUUAUCUGAAAAUGCUAUGCUUCCUUGGUCUCCAGACCUCACGCCGAGCAACUUCUUCCUCUGUGGGUAUGUGAUAGGCCUCGUGUAUGUACUUCCUAAUUCCAGAAAAGUGAAUGAUCUGAAGACACUGAUAACAGGAAGCAUAAUGUUGUCGAUGGCUGGCUAGGCCUCUAGUCUCCAGACCACUCGCCAUACAACUUCUUCCUCUGGGGGUAUGUAAAAGGCCUCGUGUAUGUACCUCGUCUUCCCAGAGAACUGAGUGAACUGAAGUCUCUAACUGAAGAGUUCACAACCAUCAACAACGCUGUGCCUCCUAGGUCUCCAGACCUCACGGCCAUGCGACUCUUCCUCUUGGGAUAUAUGAUAAGCCUCCUGUAUGUACCUGCCCUUCGCAGAAAAGUGGGUGAUCUGAAGAAAUCUAAUAACUGAAGACUUGAAAACUAAAGACAACGCUAUGUUUUGCCGGGUUAGUAAGAAUUGGAUUGUCGCUUGGAUGAAAUUCUUGUAACCCAACGUCACUCACACUGAACACCUGUAUAAACUUGUAUAGAAACAUGGAAAUAUUAGCUUCCAGGUAAUAUAAAUUGUUUUAAUCCCCUCAAUAGUUAAGAUAUACAGUGUCUUUAUGUGACAAACUUUGUGACAUGUCAUUCUCGCUGAACAUCAUUCGUUCAAGCAUUUGU